rnacentral:rRNA from 1 species
GACGUAGGGGGCCAGCGUUGUUCGGAAUUACUGGGUGUAAAGGGUUCGUAGGCGGUGCGGCAAGUCGGGAGUGAAAUCUCUGGGCUUAACCCAGAGGCUGCUUCCGAAACUGCUGUGCUUGAGUGUGGGAGAGGCGCGUGGAAUUGCAGGUGUAGCGGUGAAAUGCGUAGAUAUCUGCAGGAACACCCGUGGCGAAAGCGGCGCGCUGGACCACUACUGACGCUGAGGAGCGAAAGCGUGGGGAGCAAACAGG